rnacentral:rRNA from 1 species
CCGCGUGGACGAUGAAGGCCUUCGGGUCGUAAAGUCCUUUUGCUCGGGAACAAUAUUUUGAGCGUACCGAGAGAAUAAGAGGUUGCUAACUCUGUGC